rnacentral:misc_RNA from 1 species
UUUCAAGGCUAGGGUUACAACCUGAAACUCACUAAAUAUACAAAAGAGAAUUUCAACUGCAGCCUUGAAUUUUCUAUAUGCUUCUCUGCCCUUCCGAAAAGAAUCUUUGUUUUUGCAGACGCCUUUUAGUCAGAAGCAACUAAAUGACUCCUUAGCGGCAUCAUCCAGACACUAGCUUUACAACAAUGCAAAUGGCAUUCAGUAUUAUAAGAGGAACUCUCAUGUACUGGGUUGCAUAAAUAAGCCCCAUAAGCUGCCCUUUGAAAGACUUUGUUCGACCUCCUGAAAACUCUGAGAAGCUCCAGCCUCUUGGUGCAAGGAACCGGUCUUCAUUUAAUAUUGCUAGAGCAUUUGCAAGAAGAAGACAGCCCUCCAGUAAUGUCCACAAGCCCAUGUUCACUGCGGAGUUGCUGCUACUUGAAUCGCGUACCGGAGUAGCUAAUGCGAGCGACGACC